rnacentral:rRNA from 1 species
ACUCGACUGCGUGAAGUCGGAAUCGCUAGUAAUCGCAGAUCAGCAUGCUGCGGUGAAUACGUUCCCGGGCCUUGUACACACCGCCCGUCACACCAUGGGAGUCGGCAACGCCCGAAGUCAGUGACCGAACCGAGAGGACGGAGCUGCCGAAGGCGGGACGGAUAACUGGGGUGAAGUCGUAACAAGGUAAC